UUACAGAGCGCUGAAUGUUCCUUUUUGACAGGGUGCUGAUUGGUGCAUUUACAAUCCCUGAGCUAGACACAAAAGUUCUCCAUGUCCCCACUAGAUGAGCUAGAUACAGAGCACUGAUUGGUGCAUUUACACACCUUGAGCUAGACACAGAGUGCUGAUUGGUGUAUUUACAAUCCCUUAGCUAAACAUAAAGGUUCUCCAAGUCCCCACUAGACUCAGCAGCCCAGCUGGCUUCACGUAGUGGAUCCUGCACUGGGGUCGCAGGCGGAGCUGCCCGCUAGUCCGGCACCUUGCGCCCGCACUUCUCAGCCAUUGGGCAGUUAAUGGGACCGGCGCCGCGGAGCAGGGGGCGGCGCUGGUCGGGGAGGUUUGGGCAGCGCAGGAGCCCACUGCGGGGGCGAGGCUUGGGCAUGGCGGGCUGCAGGUCCUGAGCCCUGCCCUGUGGAGAGGCAGCUGAGGCUCAGCAAGAAUUCGAGUGCAGCGCUGGUGGGCCGGCACUGCUGGGGGACCCGGCGCACCCUCCGCAGCUGCUGGCCCGGGUGGUAAGCCCCUCACUGCCCGGGGCCCGCGCCGCCGGCGGGCGGCUCAGAGUGCGGGGCCCUCUGAACCCACACCCACCCGGAACUUGCGCUGGCCCGAGAGUGCCGCUCGCAGCCCCGGUUGCCGCCCACGCCCCUCCCUCCACACCUCCCUGCAAGCAGAGGGAGCUGGCUCCGGCCUCGGCCAGCCCAAUGAGGGGCUCCCACAGUGCAGCGCGGGGCUGAAGGGCUCCUCAAGCGCUGCCAGAGUGGGCGCAAAGGCCAAGGAGGCGCCGAGAGCAAGGAGCAAGCGAGGGCUGAGGGCUGCCAGCAAGCUGUCACCUCUCAAAGCAGUGUGAUGGAGGCAGCAAAAUGUGUGGAACCGUCAUUAUGAAGAAGGCAAUGCUCUCCUGCACCAGGGAGCUCUUCACCCCACAACUACAGAGCUCCUGUCUUCCAAGGUUCCCGAACUGUUCUGGGAAGUGCUCCUAAUCACCUGAGGUUUACAUACAAACAACCCCAGGACAUUUCAUUUAGCUACCAAUGUCAUGAUUACCAAAAAUUAAUUAACAAUAUGGUGGUCGUCAUCACAUCUGAGUCACCAAAUCAAAAUUCAGGACACAUUUCCAUGCAAAGUGCAGCCUUCUUCUUACGUUUCAUAAUUGUCAUUUCAAAUGAGAUCUUGGUUGGAAACAAUUGCUUAACUGUUUCAAGGCCUAUACCAAAAUUCUUGAAGCUCAAUUUGCACCACAGAGUACGCCAAUAUGUUUGAGUGAACUGGCUCUGGCUCUCCGAAGCUGUUUUGUAAAGACAAGAGACUAUAAGCCAUGGUGAGUAGUUAUACAUGAAGAACCUCAAUUAAUGCCUUACAUAUGGCAUGAGGAGACUAGAAAUUUUCUUGUUAAUGGGGCAGGGGUAUAAUAAUAAAUAUCUUGGCAAAUGAGAAGGGUCAAACUGUUUAUGGUUAAGAACACAAAUUUUGAGCCAAAAUACAUGGAUUUGAAUCCCUGCUAUACCCCAUUAUUAGCUAUGUGACUUCAGGCAAGUUAUUUAAGGUUGCUGUGCCACAUUUCCAUCCACCUGUAAAAUGGGGAUAAUAUUUAUAGAAGUUAAAAACUAGCUAGCACUUGUUAAAGUGUUAUCUAACACAUUUAUGAAGAAAUCAGCAGAAAGAUAAAGUAGCUGGAAAGGAAGAUUUAAGUCGAAUUGCAAAUUGCAUGUAGUGUUCACUAGGUUAACUUUCAACAGAGCUAUAAAACCAUAUCACCUUUAGAGUUAAUAUAUCUCCAUGGCUAUCAAAUUAUAAAAACUCUUUAAUUUCUGCACGUCAAUCUCUUGACCUCAAAGGACCAUAAACCAUCCACACACUUUUCAGUUGUUGAUUGUUAGCCAAGCAAAGUUACAUUCUCAGCAUGUGUCAGAUGAUGCUCAAAUGGGCUUAUUGGAAAAUGACCUAGCAUGACAUUUUAAAAAUCAAGCAAUAAUCAUUUAUCUCAUCUCUAAAUUUAGGAUAAAUAUUUUUAGUAGCCUUGCCAUGAUUUUCAUGCCAAUUUAUAUUUGUAAAGCACUUUGAAAAGUGUCUGGCACAAGGUUAAGUAAAAUACUCAGUAAUUAGGCAGUAGUAAAAAGAUAUGGCCUAUAGAAUCUGUACUAUUUUAAAAGAGCUUACGUCAUUUGUCUGAAAUAAUUUUUAAGGAUGCCACAGGAAUGGUUUGGUUGUAGACCCCACUCCAUAAAUCAAGUUUCCCUGAGGGAAAAAAUUAAGCAACAGAAUAGAAGACAGAAAUAGAGAAAAGAACUACUCAAAACGAAUUUGAAUGCCGUAAUAGGAUAAUCAUUUAUAUUUGGAGACAAAAAUGCUAAGAGUUAUAUUAGAAUAUUCCAGAGAGACAGAACCAGUAGGAUAGAUGAUAGAGAGAUAGACAGAUAGAUAGAUAGAUAGAUAGAUAGAUAGAUAGAUAGAUAGAUAGACAGACAGACAGACAGAUAGAUGAUGCAUAGAUAGAUAAAUGAUAGAUGACGGAUGGAUGGGUAGGUAGAUAGACAGACAGACAGAUGAGAGGGGAUUUAUCUGGGGAGUUGACUCAUGUGAUUGAUUAUGGAGGCUGAGAACCCCACAAUAGGACAUCUGUAAGCUGGAGACUUGGGAUGCUGGUUGCAUGGCUCAGUCUAAGUUCAAAAGCAUCAGAACCAGGGAAGCCAAUGACAUAACUCUCAAUCUGAGGCUAAAGGCCCAAAAACCCAAGGAGAUACUGGUAUAAGUAUCAGAGUCCAAAAGCCAGAGAACCUUGUGUGCUGAUGUCCAAGAACAGGAGAGGAAGGGUGCUGUAGCUCCAGGAGAGAGAGAGUAAAUUUUCUUAGGUGGUGCAAAAGUAAUUGUGGUUCUUGCCAUUGAAAUUAAUAGCAAAAACUGCAAUUACUUUUGCACCAACCUAAUGCUUUCCUCUUGCUUUUUGUUCUAUCCAGGUUCCCAGUCAAUUGUCCACCUACACUGAGGUCAGAUCUUCCCCAUUCAGUCUACCGACUCACACAUCAAUCUUCUCUGGAAAACAUCCUCACAGAAACAUCCAGAAACAAUACUUUACCAGUUGUCUAGGUAUACCUUAAUCCAGUCAAGCUGACAUCUCAAAUUAGCCACCACAAAUACAUUUUUUUUCCAAAAUAUCUAGGCACUACUAGAUAAGCAUAUUUUUAAAAUGUUUUCUUCCCACUGUGUAAACUUAGAAAAUAAUAGAGAGAUUUACAAAGCUAUGCUAUAUUCACGAUCCAUUAAAAUAAUAUAUAUUUUAUGAGAGAGACUUUUGCUGCUACCAACAUUCCAAAACCCUCUUUACCUCAAACAAUGUUAAAGAUGGUAUUUGUUUAAUAUUGGAAAAGGAUUAUGCCACAACCACUUAAUCAAAAUCUUGUUUAGUGUCAGUAUCUAUUCAAUUUUGCAUGUCCCAGCUUGAUGGAAACUAACUACCUCACAGCACUCCAUAAAUAUUUAUAUCGUAAUCCAUUAUUGAUAUCUUACAAACAUUUUACUAUAGCUUGCUAAUGGCUGCAACAUGACAGUUCUGGAUGGAACUGAACAAUUAUUUUAAUUUUAUUUCCAUAGGAGAUGCUUUGCACAUGUAAAAACAAAAAUGCCAGUUUAAUUGGGGUACUUACUACCAACACAAAACAAAAGCAUAGUAUCUAAAAUCAAGUCCUGAAAAUGAAUGAAAAAAUGUUUUCAAGAAUUUUUUAACACGAAAAUUACAAUUCCCUAUUAUGUUAAAAUCUCUCACACUUGUAUUACAACCUAUCAUACUCAGAUAAUUUAUUUAAAUCUCAAAGUAUCACUAUAAUAUAGGAAAUAUUUCAAUGUUCCCACUUUCCAAAUGAAGAAAAUGAGCAGUACAGAAAACUUUAAUGACUUACGCAAAGGCACACAGCUAUCUGGGACUAAAAUAAGAGCUUUUGCCUCUUAUGCUCAUGACACCAAUAACUUAGCCUCUUGCCACAAGUGUAUCCUCCUUUAUAUAUAUUUCUUACCUUACACAUAUGCUAAAAGCUUCACCUGUAUGACAUAUAUAAAAUUAUUCUUGUACACCUCCUAAAUGAAGGUAUACAAGCCAUCCUAAUAUGUACCUAGUGUGUGAGUUUAUUUCAGUCUUUACUCAUCUGUUUUCUGUUUUAGACUGUCAGUUCACUGAACCAGAGUUAGUAUUUUUGAAAAGCAGGAUAGGUAGUUUUCAGCAUCAGAUGGAUAAAGAUGAGGUCAAGUCAAAAAGAGCAGCAUGUGUGCAGAACGUGAGAGCAACAGAGGAAACAGACCUGUAGGUGUUCAGAUUCUAAAUCUGCCAUUUACUCGUCGUGUGAUAGUCAAUAACUUAUUUUCCUGAAGCAUCAGUAUUAAAUGAGGUAAUGUAAUAUAAGUGCUUAGCACAAGCAUAACACAGAGUAAAUUUUCAGUUAAUUAAAUGAUAAUUGAUGCUUUUACACACAAAAAAAACCACUUAUUGUAUUUAGAGUUUAUAACAAAGAGAGCUAUUUAUUAUCUGUUCAAGGAAAGAAGAUUUAUGUAUUAUUAUUCCUAUUAAAGAUUAUACCAUCUCAUGUAUUGUGAAAGCUGACCAGUAGUGGUGAAAAGUCUUCCCAUAUGUAUAAUCCUUUAUAAAACAUAUUUAUUUCCAUUUUUCAUUUGAGCCACUGAAAAGUUCUGUGAAUUUAGUUUAUUUUUUAUCAUCAUCAUCAUCAUCAUUUCCAUACUUAAAUUGAGCAGACUGAGUUUAGAAGAGGUAAAGUAAUAGGCUCAAAUUCUUUCACCCAAUCUCUACACCAAAUCAGUUGCCAGCAUGUUUCUCAUUUUCUGAAUUUUUGAUAGUGCUGGAUGUAAAACCUGACAUGAGUUGUAUAGCAACAAAUAACCACAAUAAAAUCAUCAGCCAGGUUUCUUUUAAGCUCCCACAAUCCCAUCAUGUUCAUUAAUUUUUAACAUAAUUCACUUUAAACAGAAUUUUCUAAUGGGUAAGAAAGAGUUAGGAGGGUAUUCACCAAGACAUCUUUUGUCAGCCUAUGGCAAACCAGUUUAAUUUAUUCUUUGGUCAACCUCAGUGCCACGUUUUCAGUUAUUUUUUAAGACUACCACAACGGACUUGUAGACAUGUGUUUGAAAAAAUGUGAUUCUCAAUUCACAAUAGCAUAAUGAAGAGGUAAUAGUACUGAAAAGAAAUCAGAAGCAUUCCCUUUAGCCAGUUAUCAAGAUGCAAUAUAGAAAUAUGAUUAUGGGCCGGGCGCGG
rnacentral:lncRNA from 10 species